rnacentral:rRNA from 1 species
UACGUAGGGGGCGAGCGUUGUCCGGAAUCAUUGGGCGUAAAGAGCGUGUAGGCGGCCUGAUAAGUCGGCUGUGAAAGUCAAGGGCUCAACCCUUGAAUGCCGGCCGAUACUGUCAGGCUAGAGUCCGGAAGAGGCGAGUGGAAUUCCUGGUGUAGCGGUGAAAUGCGCAGAUAUCGGGAGGAACACCGGUGGCGAAGGCGGUUCUCUGGGCCUUACCUGACGCUGAGGAGCGAAAGCGUGGGGAGCGAACAGG